rnacentral:rRNA from 1 species
GACGAACGCUGGCGGCGUGCUUAACACAUGCAAGUCGAACGGUGAAGCGCCUUCCUUUUUGGUGGGUGUGGAUGAGCGGCGAACGGGUGAGUAACACGUGAGUAACCUGCCCCCUUCUUCUGGAUAACCGCAUGAAUGUGUGGCUAAGACGGGAUAUUCUGGGUCUGUCGCAUGAUGGGUCUGGUAAAGAUAUUGUUUCGGUGGGGGAUGGGCUCGCGGCCUAUCAGCUUGUUGGUGGGGUGAUGGCCUACCAAGGCGGUCACGGGUAGCCGGUCUGAGAGGGUCGACGGUCUCACUGGGGCUAAGACACGGCUAAGACUCCUACAGGAGGCAGCAGGGAGGAAUAUAGCACACUGGGCGCAAGCCUGAUGCCGCGACGCCGCGUGCGAGAUGGAGGCCUUAGGGUUGUGAACCUCUUUCUCCAGUGAAGCGGGCAUGCCUCGUUUGUGGGUGGGUUGACGGUAGCUGGAGAAGAAGCGCCGGCUAACUACGUG